CAUAGCAGUGACAGUCUUUCGCAUAGCGUGCUAGGUGUAGGUGACAACUCUGAAAUACGUUUUACCCCACCACCUCGAGCCAGACGGCGUAGGAAGCGUUUUGUGAUCCCCUGUCUGUUGUUUCGUAGGAUUUUACGACGUGGUUUCCCGGCUUGCUGUCCAUGGAAUUUGGUUCUUUUGUUGACACGUCUAGACAUCACGUUGAAAUUUUGACUUUUCUUACACUUCCCAGAGG